AGGAAUUCUCUGGGCUCGAAAACUUAAAAUUAGUCGAUAUCCGCUAGAACCCUCGUGCACUCUCUUCAGUUAUGCUCACGAAUCCAAAGAGAGAAGUGCACUUGGAAUGAUGGGCUGGAUUUGGAGAAAGGCAUGGUUUCCAUAGUCUCAUGCUGCUCUCAGGAAAUGCACUGAGAAAAUCUUAAAUCCACACACAUAAGGUCAACGAAUUUUCAAGGAAAGCACCAAAACUACUCAAUGGGGAAAGGAUAGUCUCUUCACCAAAUGGUGUUGGGAAAACUGGAUGGCCACAGGAAAGGAAUGAAAUGGAUGCUUAUCUGACACCACACACACACAUCAACUCAGGAUGGAUUAAAGACUCAAAUGUAAGACCUGAAACUUUAACACUCCUAGAAGGAAACAGAGGAAAAAGCUCCUUGACAUUGGUCUUGGUAAUGAUUUUUUGGAUCUGACACCAAAAGCACAGACAACAAAAGCAAAAACAACAACCAAAAAACAAAAACAAAAACAAAAACAAAAACCUAACGUGCUUCUGGACAGCAAAGGAAGCAAAGUGAAAGGGCAGCCUAUGGAAUGGAAGAAAAUAUUUGCAAACUGUAUAUCCAAUAAGGGAUUAAUAUCCAAAAUAUAUAAAGAACACUUAAUAGCAAAACCAAAACCAAAUAAUCUGGUUUAAAAAUGGGCCAAGGAUCCAAAGAGACAUUUUUCCAAAGAAGACCUACAAAUGGCCAACAGCUCUGUGAAAGAUGCUCAACAUCACUUAUCAUCAGGGAGAUGCAAAUCAGGUAUCACCUCACAUCUGGAGAGAAAAAGACACACGAGAUGAACACAGAAGGGAGAAGUUCUUGUGACGAUGGAGUCAAAGAGUGGAGGGAAGGGGCUAUAAGCCAAGGAACCCCAAGGAUUGCGGGAGCUGUCAGAAGCGAGGAGAAGAGGAAGGAUUCUUCCUUAGAGACUUCAAAGGGAACAUGGCCCUGCUGACACCUUGAUUUCAGACUUAUAGCCUCCAGAACUAUGACAGAGUAAAUCUCUGUUGUUUUAAGCCACCAA